rnacentral:lncRNA from 1 species
UUGCAUGAUCGGUUAUUGAUACAAAAUGAUAAUUGCACUUCAGCACAAUGAAGAACCACUCUUGAUCAAGAUGGUGUGAGUCAAGGGUGAAUAUGUGAAAGCCUAGCAGUUGACUAAAGAAGGUGAGUAAGCCUUGAAGCAGAAGCGAUGAUUUGCUCACAAAUCAGAAAUAGGGUUAAGAAGCUUAGUUUCAGAUAAUAGGGGAGAUGAUACUGAACUGAAAGAGUAACACAAACAUCUGUACAUGAAGAAGUUACACCAAAACUUAAUUGCAUGAUAGGUUAUUGAUACAAAAUGAUAAUUGCACUUCAGCACAAUGAAGAACCACUCUUGAUCAAGAUGGUGUGAGUCAAGGGUGAAUAUGUGAAAGCCUAGCAGUUGACUAAAGAAGGUGAGUAAGCCUUGAAGCAGAAGCGAUGAUUUUCUCACAAAUCAGAAAUAGGGUUGAGAAGCUUAAUUUCAGAUAAUAGGGGAGAUGAUACUGAACUGAAAGAGUAACACAAACAUCUGUACAUGAAGAAGUUACACCAAAACUUUUGUGGUUCAUGGAGUCAGCUCGCUUGACUAAAGAUGCCCUGGCCAUCAAUUUGCGCCAAUUUCAUGACUGUUUGAUGUUGAUAGCACUUUGUGAAAAAAAAUCUGCUCAAUACAUCCAUGAGGCCUUCUUGGCUUGAUGUUGUGAUUUAUGGCUGAAACAUUUUCAAAGGAAAAGGCUUGAA